rnacentral:rRNA from 1 species
AUACGUAGGGUCCAAGCGUUGAUCGGAAUUACUGGGCGUAAAGCGUGCGCAGGCGGUUGUGCAAGACCGAUGUGAAAUCCCCGAGCUUAACUUGGGAAUUGCAUUGGUGACUGCACGGCUAGAGUGUGUCAGAGGGGGGUAGAAUUCCACGUGUAGCAGUGAAAUGCGUAGAGAUGUGGAGGAAUACCGAUGGCGAAGGCAGCCCCCUGGGAUAACACUGACGCUCAUGCACGAAAGCGUGGGGAGCAAACAGGAUUAGAUACCCUGGUAGUCCACGCCCUAAACGAUGUCAACUAGUUGUUGGGGAUUCAUUUCCUUAGUAACGUAGCUAACGCGUGAAGUUGACCGCCUGGGGAGUACGGUCGCAAGAUUAAA